ensembl:lncRNA LINC03076 long intergenic non-protein coding RNA 3076
GCAGUGAGCCGAGAUCACGCCACUGCACUCCAGCCUGGGCGACAGAGCGACACUCCGUAUCAAAAAAAAAAAAAAGAAGAUGGAGGAGCAGCAGUAAGGCUUAUCAACGGAAAUAUUCGUACUGAUGAGCAUAGAGGAAGAGGUUUUGUUUGCUUGUUUAAGAAUCCAGGGUGGCAGCAGCAGGCCCUGCUUUUGGGGUAGAGGUGGCCAGCUAGAAGGGCAUUGUACCUUCCCUGGGUCCCGCCCCUUCCCAGCUCUAUGCAACUCAUUUUCAUCUAGCAUUACCUCUCCAAAACCUGAAUCUCCACAAGAAAGCCACACAGCAAUUAACCAGUGUUGCAAGAACUGCUUCUGUAAUAAAGGUGGGAAGACAAAUUGAUGCAACCCUCUUGAAAAGCAAUCUGGCAAUAUGAACCAAGAGCCAUGAAAAGGCUUAUGCUAUUAUAAUUAAAUGGCUGUAAUGUUGGCUGUAAAUAUGAAAUUUUCUUUCACACACCAAUGUUUUCAAGAAUGGCAUAUUCACAUGCAGUAUGUGAUGAAAGAAGCAGUAAAGGAUGCUAACAAAGCUAUUUCUUUGGACAAUCUGAACCUGACGGAGUCUUACUCUGUCGCCCAGGCAGGAGUGCAAUGGCACAAUCUUGGCUCACCACAACCUCCGCCUCCUGGGUUCAAGUGACUCUCCUGCCUGGCCAUAGAAGCAAACACAAACAUAGAGGAAUUGGCUUUGGGCAGAUGGAAGGACCUCAGAGAAAAGAAACAAAGGAAAGAAAACUGGAUGGAUAAAGGUACAAAGAAAUUUGGAGUAGAGCUGAAUUGCAUCCCCCUCAAAUUCAUAUGUUAAAAUUCUGAUCCUCAAUACCUCAGAAUGUGACUGUUUCUGAAGACAGGGCCUUUAAAGAUGUAAUUAAGGUAAAAAAGUCAUAUCGGUGGGCCCUAAUACAACAUUAAGGAUGUCCCUAUAAGAAGAGGAGAUUAGAACACAGGCAUGCACAGAGAGAUGACAUGUGGAGACACAAGGAAAAAUGACCAUCUCGUCAAGGUGAAAAGCCUUUUGAAGAAACCAACCCUGCCAAAGGUUAAAAUUCCCUGUGGAAUUUUAAGCUUCACAGAUAUGAGGAAGUAAAUUUCUGUUGCUUAAA